UACGAAGGGGGCUAGCGUUGCUCGGAAUCACUGGGCGUAAAGGGCGCGUAGGCGGAUCUUUAAGUCGGGGGUGAAAGCCCAGGGCUCAACCCUGGAAUUGCCUUCGAUACUGAAGAUCUCGAGACCGGAAGAGGUAAGUGGAACUGCGAGUGUAGAGGUGAAAUUCGUAGAUAUUCGCAAGAACACCAGUGGCGAAGGCGGCUUACUGGUCCGGUUCUGACGCUGAGGCGCGAAAGCGUGGGAGCAACAGG
rnacentral:rRNA from 1 species